GACGAACGCUGGCGGCGUGCCUAAUACAUGCAAGUAGAACGCACAGUUUAUACCGUAGCUUGCUACACCAUAGACUGUGAGUUGCGAACGGGUGAGUAACGCGUAGGUAACCUGCCUGGUAGCGGGGGAUAACUAUUGGAAACGAUAGCUAAUACCGCAUAAUAUUGAUUAUCGCAUGAUAAUUGAUUGAAAGAUGCUAUUGCAUCACUACCAGAUGGACCGGCGUUGUAUUAGCUAGUAGGUGAGGUAACGGCCCACCUAGGCGACGAUACAUAGCCGACCUGAGAGGGUGAGCGGCCACGCUGGGACGGGAACACGGCCCAGAAUACUACGGGAGGCAGCAGUAGGGGAUCUUCGGCGAUGGAAGAAAGUCUGACCGAGCGACGCCGCGUGAGUGAAGGAGGUAGUCGGGUCGUGAAAGUCUGUUGUGAGAGAAGGACGGAUGUGAGAGUGGAAAGUUCACACUGUGACGGUAUCUGACCAGAAAGGGACGGCUAACUACGUG
rnacentral:rRNA from 1 species